UACGAAGGGGGCUAGCGUUGUUCGGAAUUACUGGGCGUAAAGCGCGCGUAGGCGGAUAUUUAAGUCAGGGGUGAAAUCCCAGAGCUCAACUCUGGAACUGCCUUUGAUACUGGGUAUCUUGAGUAUGGAAGAGGUAAGUGGAAUUGCGAGUGUAGAGGUGAAAUUCGUAGAUAUUCGCAGGAACACCAGUGGCGAAGGCGGCUUACUGGUCCAUAACUGACGCUGAGGCGCGAAAGCUAGGGGAGCAAACAGG
rnacentral:rRNA from 1 species